UUCGAAUCAACUUCUGGUCGUGACUUGCAGUGUAGGUCUGCAGCUAGACCCCUCUCAAAAAACUCAGUCCUCACGGAGAGAAACCCACUAAACCUCACUGAAGAAUAAUAAUGAUCACUGUGCCACAGAGGUACCAAAGGCACUGAGCAGCUCAUGGAGUCCAUCAUCAGAGGAGACUUUGAGACGUCUGUAUCAUUGAAGUUGUGUCUGCAUCCAGAACGUAGAGAAGUCUCCAAACAUGGCUUCUACAGGACAGUCGGCCUUAGGUUACGUCAGGAAUGCCAGAAAGUACCUUGUGGGAAAAUUAAAGAAUCUCUCAGUGAUUCUGGACAACUUGAACCAGGAGAACUCAAAGCAGCAAAGAGUUUUAAUUGAUGCAGCAGUCAGAGAAAUACAGGCAAAGACAAAUGAUGACGAUAAAAUCAGAGACAUAGUGGACAGAGUCAUCAAACAGGGGGAAGCUGCCUGCUACGAGUUCCUCAGGGUCAUUUACUUGACCAGAAAGAGGACCUUAGAUGUUGACCUGCACCACUGGAUCAUCAGCUUUCCUUUCAGUGAA